rnacentral:rRNA from 1 species
GGGUCCUACGGGGCGCAGCAGUGGGGAAUAUCGGGCAAUGGGCGCAAGCCUGACCCAGCAACGCCGCGUGAAGGAAGAAGGCUUUCGGGUUGUAAACUUCUUUUGUCAGGGAAGAGUAGAAGACGGUACCUGACGAAUAAGCCACGGCUAACUACGUGCCAGCAGCCGCGGUAAUACGUAGGUGGCAAGCGUUGUCCGGAUUUACUGGGUGUAAAGGGCGUGUAGCCGGGUUGACAAGUCAGAUGUGAAAUCCUGCGGCUUAACCGCCGAACUGCAUUUGAAA